AUCGCUUCUCGGCCUUAUGGCUAAGAUCAAAGUGUAGUAUCUGCUCUUAUUAGCCUUUGGACCUCCUUAAGCUUUAAUUUGUGGUAUCUUGAGUACUUAACUGUCGGCCUCGCUCGACUAUCACUUUUUUAUUCAUUAAAAAACUAACACUUUUGCUGCAGGCUAAAAAUCACAACGUUAGUUGAAUUUAACAUUUU
rnacentral:snRNA from 1 species